GACGAACGCUGGCGGCGUGCCUAAUACAUGCAAGUAGAACGCUGAAGGAGGAGCUUGCUUCUCUGGAUGAGUUGCGAACGGGUGAGUAACGCGUAGGUAACCUGCCUGGUAGCGGGGGAUAACUAUUGGAAACGAUAGCUAAUACCGCAUAAGAGUAGAUGUUGCAUGACAUUUGCUUAAAAGGUGCAAUUGCAUCACUACCAGAUGGACCUGCGUUGUAUUAGCUAGUUGGUGGGGUAACGGCUUACCAAGGCGACGAUACAUAGCCGACCUGAGAGGGUGAUCGGCCACACUGGGACUGAGACACGGCCCAGACUCCUACGGGAGGCAGCAGUAGGGAAUCUUCGGCAAUGGACGGAAGUCUGACCGAGCAACGCCGCGUGAGUGAAGAAGGGUGUCGGAUCGUAAAGCUCUGUUGUAAGAGAAGAACGAGUGUGAGAGUGGAAAGUUCACACUGUGACGGUAUCUUACCAGAAAGGGACGGCUAACUACGUG
rnacentral:rRNA from 1 species